AUCUGUUGAGGAUGAUGGCGG
rnacentral:siRNA from 1 species